UACAGAGGUCUCAAGCGUUAUCCGGAUUCACUGGGUUUAAAAGGGUGCGUAGGCGGGCAGGUAAGUCCGUGGUGAAAUCUCUGAGCUUAACUCAGAAACUGCCAUGGAUACUAUUUGUCUUGAAUAUUGUGGAGGUAAGCGGAAUAUGUCAUGUAGCGGUGAAAUGCUUAGAUAUGACAUAGAACACCAAUUGCGAAGGCAGCUUACUACACAGUUAUUGACGCUGAGGCACGAAAGCGUU
rnacentral:rRNA from 1 species